GGAGAAUAGACACGCUUUUAAGGGCCGGGUCUUGAUGAAAUUCACCACUCUCACAACCUCGUUCAAAAUCACUGGGUGAAAAGGCUCUGAAUCAGGGGAUAUACUGACCGGAUAUUUUUUAUGACAUGCAGCAUAUCAGGAGCAUCUUUGAUCAUAUCCUGAGUUUUUAAGAAUCAGUGAAAAUAUUGAUUUAUUUUGACUCCUGAUAUGCCAAUGAGAUAUCAGGGGUAUGCAUACCCAAAUCACAAGUCACACACACCAUUUCUGGAUAUCUUUGGGUAGGUCUCCACCCUUGGAUAGGCUUAGGCUAUCAUAUUAGAUAGCCUAGGCCCAAGAUCUGCCUAAUUAAGUCACGCAUGCCCUACGCCCAAAACGUACCAUAAAACAUCACUGAUAGGCUAUUUGCUGUUUGAUUUCUAUCUAAUUUCGGGACAUUCAAAAAUAGACUAUUUAUAAAGACUACCUUUUUCAGGUCAAGGCUAGCCUACUUACCUAAUUAUUUUGGUUAUGGUUCAAUUUCAAUGAUAUCUUUGAGAUUUUAUAGUUGCUAUAGUCUGUAGGUCUAGCCUACUUUUUAUGUAUAAUAUGCAUGAGAUCUGUUGGAGGAAUAAAGUCCACAUUUUAAAUUAUCUGCUUUCCCCUUGUCCCCAAUGCUGUCUGCCAAAACGAAUUCGGUUCAGCUGGAGUUGCCACAUAACAACAAUACAAAGUUAAAUUUAACAGUAGCCUAAACAAUUUGAAGUAGGCCUACAUUAAGAAGAAUAGCAAUAAUAAACAACAAUUCAAUCAAUAGCCUAUAAUGAAAAUAAAUACAUACUAUAUGCUACAAACCAUAACACAUAAGAAAGGCUUACUAAACUUGUUAAAGUUGAGCAUCUAUAAUUUCAUACUAUUUUAACAUUACAAGCUUCCUUGUGGGCCAACACAAUGGAUCAAUCAUGUUGUAACUUGUCUAUAAAACGUGGGUGACUGAUAAACCAAUGUUGAUUUAAUUAAGGAACAAGGCUUCAAAUGAAACUGACGUCAAACUAUAUGAGAACCAAUAAUGUUAAUAAUCAGAAUAGUAGUAAUAGCCCACUUGGCUACUAUGUUUUGACACUUCUACAAAAUCAGUUUGGUAGUCAUUUUAAUGUAACUAAAAUAUGCAGGCCUAAUAAUUUCCACGAUUUCUUAUGCUUUGCCUCUCGAUAAGCGCAUGCGCACACACAGCAUACCCAUCCCCCACCCCUGACUGACUUUUCAACGAACUCCUUGGUGGUGACUUCAACCGUCACUUUUCUGUCAUGCAUCUGACUGCAAGCUGUACAAACUCUGCCGUCAUCAUAUCCAAGGCAGUGAGUUCUGAGGACUGCUUCCCUGAGAACACUGAGUGCAUUCUGGAAUAUUCCAAAUGUGUGCCACUUCCAUACAAAAGAAGUUUCAAUCCCGCAAGAGAGUUCACUCACCAGUGGGCUCCAUCAACAGACCAGGGCAAAGUCGGUCUGUCCUGCUACUACUACAUGCUACUUGACUAUGUUUGGAAGCCAUGGCUGCUGCCCUCAACAUGCUAAACUGAAACCCUGACAAAUAAACUGAUACCAAUAAUUAACAUUGAUGGUGAUGGUGGCAAGGAUGCCUUCAUAAGGUGCCAUCCAGCAAGUCCCAGCCUGGAGCCAGAGGCUGGCACUGCACGUCAGAUGGGGGAGGAUCUAUGCAUCAGAAAGGUGGUUGAAGCAAGAAAGAGCUUCAGCAGACAGUGUUGCAAUUAGACACCUGACUUUUACUGCCAAAGGGACCAUCAGAGCACCUCUCCCUACCAUCUAUACCAGAAGAGUACGGACAAGGGCCCAAAAUGUUUUAAAGGACGUUGCACGCCCAGACCAUGGACUGUUUAAACCACUGUGGUCAAGCAGAAGUCUCUGUUCUCACUCGAGGCAGGUCAUUGAAAGGGGGCGAGUGUCACUGCGUAAGCCCCCUACUGCAGGCGAGAAAGCCAUGUUGAUUUGAAUAUUGAUUGAUAAAUACAAUAAAGGCCAUGUAACAAA